CCGGAGCGCUGAGUGUGUCUCCGUCGCUCUGCCUCUCCCGUGUUCCUCUUUCACCCUGCCGGCGAGUCCUGAUCUCCUCUUCGACCCGCCACGGCGGGUCGCGCACAGUCAUCUGCAUGGCCUUUACAGACUCCUCCGUCCCUCCCGCUGCCGGACACACCGGGUUUCCAGCCCUCUGCAAGGCUGCCAACGACGAUGGGAAUGAGGUCGGCACGCAGGACCCCUUCAUGGUGGCAUACCCGUCCUCUUCGCUACCGCCGUCGUAUUCCAGUAUGAUCCAGUGCGUUCUGGGACGACCCCUGCCCUUUCUGCCGUCACCGCUGUCACGAAAAGCCAACUCGCGAAGUCGGAGCGGCCUAGGUGUUGGUGGCCGUCUACGAUAUGGAACUGAUCCCAUCAGCUGUAGCGGUUCUCUGCAACUCAGUUACGAUGCCUCUGCCGCGUCCGGCCCAUCGUCGCUCUCGCGCACGGUACCACAGGGCAGCAGCGACGAGGCCAGCACGCUUGGGAAAGACUACAUAUUGAAGGAAGAGGACGCCUUUGAGUCGCCGCGCGGCACCCCCUCCGUUCCCACAGCGCUACGCCGCUCGCUGUCGCCCACAGGAGCGGCGGCAGUGGCCCGGACAAUGAUGCCGGCCGCACCCGUGCUGCUGCGCCACUCGCACGGCGGAAAAACACGUCUCUUGUAUGCCGACGGUCACGUCGAGACAGUAGUGGCGGGUGGUGCAACGAAGCCGCCAUCCAAACGGACGCAUGCGCCCAGUGCGGCGAGCCAUCGUCGUAUGUGCGCCGAUGACAAGAGAAACCAUCUUCGGAGCUUGCCGCUGGACGCAGCCCCGCUUCCGUCCCCUUCGGCGAGCGGACGGUGGCUACUCGAAUCGUUUAGCGCCGUUGCGCAGGUGCACCAGCAGCAGCUGCCGCCCCUGGUGGAGCCCAUCGUCACGCCGCAGGCGGCCGGCGCCGCCGCGUCCGCCAGUCCUCCCUCUCACGCAGCGGAGCGUAGUGCAGUGCGCCCAAUGGAGGCGGAGUCCAGCCGGCAGGCGACGAAGUUCCCAUCAUGGUCCUUCGUGACCGUUGAGCCGCAGCAACAGCAGGUCGCGGCGAGCAUCACCCUUCCACACCCUUCAGGAAAAACACCGCCAAGGCUGCCGGCCAACUUCAGCGAGGGCACAGGCAAAACCGAUCACGCCAGGGAGUCCACCGAGGCUGGGGGUGAUGAGGGCGGCCAUGGGCGCAUGGAAGGCUUCCGUGCCAUGGUGCCGGCUGGCUCGCCUCCGAUCACCGCAGCCGGGGCUGCUAGUCGUUACGAUGCCAACGAGAAGAGCAUACGCACCUCAGUGGUGUCCACAGUCGGUGUGCGACCUUCUCGCAGCACGAGCAACGUGGGCGAGGCCACACUCAGCAAGGCGGCGGACGACGCGAAGACCGCAGUCGCGGCGCUGCAGAGUGGCGUUCGUGCGGAGCUCGCGGCCGAGCAGCGUGCUGGUGCGCAGGCCUUUGCGAGCCGCUACGCCCGCGACGUCUCCGCCUCGCCGUCCCUCUUCUCCCUCCGCUUCCCUGUCCGCCCGCUGUCCGAGCUGCACGCGUUUGCGGAUCGCCCUCACCACGAGGACGCCGCCGCCGCCGCGUCGCGGGGCGCGCUGAGCACCGAUGAACGCAGUGCAUCGUUCUUGGAGCACAGAGAGGCGGCCAGUAGCACCAGGAGAGUCGAGGACGCGCCUGCCAUUUCGCCAACUCGCGCACCACCACCGCAGCAGCAGGCGCCCGACGUGCUGCUGCCAUACGCGCAGGUCACGACCCCGUCGGGUUUCACUGUGCCGGAGCUGCUGCAGGACCGUCUGCUACCACGCGAGACACCGUCACUGCAGCAGAAGCUGAGCAAACUUUACGCCGUCCGAGGCCUCAUCGACGCGCGUGACUCGACGGCGUGCCGGUUCACUGUGUCGUUCAUGUGGUUUGUCCUCCUGCGGUGCCGCAAGGCACGCCGGGAACAGUCCCUGGUCAACGGUUACCGUCUACUAUCGACCGCCUUCUCCAACGCCUUCCCGCAUGUCGCCCUGGACGAGGCCUUGCCGCCGUUGGAUGUGCUGGAGCAGCUCCUGGUGGAGCUCCUCACCUGCCUACGCUACUCGGCAGGGGUGCAGAGCGCGACGAAUACCGCGACGAGUGCUGCCGCGGCAUCGAGCGCCGCAAGCGCUGCCAGCUCAUCACGGCGCGCAGUGGAGCUGCCGACGUCGGACGGUUUUGCCACCCUAACGAGGACGUCAGGCAGGACAGCGAGCACGAGCGGGCUUCUGGCAAACGCAACCCCGACGUCGCCACCGGCGUCUACGACGCACACGACAAGCGAUACCCCGAAUGCGGCAAGCGUUGCCGCGGCCCCAUCGAAGGUGCCGCUGCGCCUUCGGCUACACGAGCACGCCGCUUACUUCCCGCUGUUGUUGAGCCCGACAUGGUCGAAACUGGUCAGCACGGGCGCCGUCGAUGCCGGCAGUGGCAACGGCUACCAAGAAUCGAAGUGGGCGCAGCAGCAGGAGCAGCCGCACAGUUCAUGUCGACAAGAGGUGCAACGGAUGCUCCCCUCUGAAGAUGCCCUGGCCAUUCUCUGCAAGAUGUAUCAGGAUCUGUGGCUACACCACAGCGAGUACGUGCAGCUAUGCUUGUACGAGGAGCUUCUGCAGAAGCAGCUCGCCCUGCAGUUUGGCACCGUGGUCAUGCACCUGCAGCAGGGGGCCAUGAGCGCCGAGGUGUCGACGGCGGCUUCCACCACGGCGUCCUUCUCCGCCGGAGUCUCCCAAGGCCUCCGACCGUCGGCGACAUGGCGCCUGUCUGCUCUAGCCAGUGCCACGCCCAUCGCCCGCAGCGAGGGCUGGGGUGACCUCCGCGCAAGUCGAAGCGGCGCGCCGACAUCAGGGGGCGAUCUGCGGGCGCGGAAGAGCAGGAACACGACCGCCAUGAUGACCAACACGGCCGUUGCUGCCGCGGCUGCCGUUGCGCCUGCCGUGAUGGACGGUAUCCUCGAGAGCCUGCUGCUGCUCGUUGCGCACGCUACCUACUACAACUGUGUCUUCUGCUUCCCGAAUGACGUCUGCGCUGGCAUGUUCGACGAGGAGUUCCGCGCGGAUGUGGUGCGCUGGCUUUUUGUAUGCUACCACGGUGUUUACCUGACACAUGUGCAGGUGCGGCACUGGCCCAUGCCGGCCAAGGGCGACUACGCGGACGCGCAGCUGAAGCGCAGAGCCGCCACGGAGCUGGAGAUCUCGGCACUGGGCCUGCUGCCGACGUGCGAGCAGCAGACGGCGGGCAUUGUACGCGCCGCUGUCGUUUCAGGUGUGCAAGGAAAGUCGUCGCUCACCGCUAUCGCUGAGGCUGCGCGGUCCGCCUCGCUCUUCACGGCCGCGGAGGACGGCAUCUUCGACGUUGGCGGCGUCGAGGCCAACAGCGAGGCCCGGGUGGUCUACCAACUCGACCGAUACGGCCGCUCCGCUGUGCUGCACGUGGCAGAGCUCGAGCGGAGCAUGGCGCUCCUCCAACGGCGCCACAUGACAGGCGAUCUGUGUGGCAGCUACAACUCACAGUUCGGGCCGCGUGGUGUUAGCGGCUCUAGUCGGACCCCCGGCAACAGUCGGGGCAGCUCCGCGGGUAGUGCGACCCCAGCACCGUUGCCGUCCAACGUGCACCCAAACCUUAUCGAGAUGGUGGACACGGAGGCCGGCUCCCACCGCUCGACGGCACGCCGGCAGACUGGGACCAAGACAUCACGGCAGCAGAAGCACAGCAGCGCCGGCUUUUCUCGGAGAACGACUGGCGGAUCUCCCACAACGGCAGCGGAGCCGCUGUCACAGUGCGCCACCCUCGACGCGCGCAGCAGCAGCAGUCGAGGCGCGGUGAAGCAGGGCGCUUCCAUUCAAAGUGGCUGUGGCAUGCAGUCGCCGCGGCAGCGGCGCACGCCGGCUCUUGCGACGGCGGCUUCGCCCCAUUGUCAUCAAGAGGAAGAGGCCCGCGCGCAGUACCGCACGAGUGCGGCCGUGGCGGUGGGCAAGAGCCUGGUGACACUGGCUGCGGAGCUUCGUCGUGGCAGCCAAAAGGGCAGAGUCGCUAGAGCAACGUGGAAGGCGACUUCGGCGCGAUCCAUCUGCCAAGAGAACGAACACAGAGCGAGUGCCUCGGCGCGUGCGCCUCACAGCGCCGGUGCGAACGUCAGUGGCAACGCUGCUGCGGCCGUUUGUGCGGCUGCGGCGAAGAAGAGGAACAGCGAGUGCCCCGCGACCGGAGUCCGAGCCCACCGGCGCGAGUUGUCUGCCGGCUCUCUGUUGUCUUCAAAUCCUCUCUGCGUCAGCCCGGCGCCCAUCCGCGAUUACUGGCUGUCCAUGCUCCUGCGGGCCCCAUUCUGGUGGACGACGCGGACGGCGAUAGCGACGGCAGCAGCGGUGGCUGGCGGAGAAGCCGCAACGUCGCCUGCCACACUGCAGCAGCAUAGCGCGCAGCUUCUGCUGUGGUCUUCCGUGCCGAUUGGCGCGGAUGGCGAAGUGGUACCGCUGCAAGAUCUGUGUCGCCUUCAGCUCGAACCAUGGCGGGCGCUCUUGGCCGUCGCGGCAGUGCCGCCGAUCAGCAAGGAAGCCCAGCAGGCGGCGCACCAGAUGCGCGUCUACGGCAAGACAGUGCCGCAGCAGCAGGCGCACCUGCACAGGAUUGUGGAGCGGCAGAAGUUGCACCACCAGUGCAAUCGGCAGAGGCGCUCGCAGGAGGACAGUCGAGAGCUGCCCGUGUUCGCGCCUCCCCGUCUCGCAUUGGCGAUCAACGCGGCGAAGACGGCGGCGACGCCGAGCGGGCCCGCGCCUUCAGCUGCGGGGACUGCGGAGCUGGAGGAGCCUGCCGUUAGCGUCGUCCCACCGCGCUUCAGUGCAAGAUGGAGGACUGCAAGCAGCGUAGGUGGCGUCGCGGACCCUCUGUUCAUGUGCUCUGCAAUGCUUCCUCUCACGCCGCUCAACAUUCCGGCGGACGCGGCAGAGCUGGAGGCGUCCACAACGACGGCGACGGUGGUGACCGCCAGCCCGCCGGCCGUCGCGCAACCUCGACGUCGCGGCACCGGAGAGGCUUACGAGAGUUGCACGCCUCCCUUUUAUGAGGUGUGCUCCCCGUCCAUGACCCCGGCGUCGUCGCACACGUCUUAUAUGCCUGCGCACGGCAAGGGCGGCGAACGCAUCCGAUGGCGUGCGCAACAGCACCGGGCGCACCGCAGCACCGCGGGGAGCAGCAACGGUUGCCCUGACUCGACGGACGUGACGACGCUGACCACGGCAGCCACGCCCAUCACAUCGACUUUUUGGAGUAUGAUGCCGAGCGGCGCCCUGGCGCCGCCCGCCUUGGCAAGCAUGCACCGCCGUACGCUAACGAACCAGGGUCUUACAGCUCACAACACGGCCAUCGUAACGACGUUGUCGAGGUGCCCUGGUGGCGCGGGCGCGAGCAGCAACGGCGCCACUAGCGACACGAGGGGCACGACAAACUGGCCAGGCGACAGCUUCGCCGCCAUGCCUGCUCCGCACACGGAGCCAAAGCCGCGGUCACGUCGGCUGGCCCCGCUGAGGAAGGAAGCGCUUCGCAGGCGCGUGCAGCUUCUAGCAGACCUGGACACAAUUAGCAAGCGAGACCAGGUGGUUCGGCAGCACUACACGGUUCAGCACCUGCAGCUGUCCAGCGCGAUGACCUACACGCAGUCAGAGGCCAUGAUGCGGCGUUAUUGCGCGCAGAGUCGUCUCGCGCUGGAGCGGCUGAUCUGCGGCGAGGUGGGCGACGCGACAGCGGCCCGUGCGGUAACGGAGAGGACGAAGGAGUUCAACUUUUAGGCGCGCGGGUAUGUCUGGCUCUGCCUAUCUGCAGAGCUCGACGGCUCGCUGCGCAUCAUGUAUAGUAAUACCAUGUCUUCUGUAAGCCCGCUUGUUUUGCAUGGGAGCGCACCGCACUUUAGCGUGCAGCUGCCUUUCGGCUCUUCUGCCCGAAGUCAUGUAAGUGCCGCCUCUCCUGAGCGCUCCACCGUCCCCCUGCUGCUUUCUCUCUCUCUCGACCGAGAGAGAGAGAGAAGCAGGAAGCGUGCACGGACGCAUACGGGCGCACAUCCACUCGCCGCCCACCCAUUCUCCACUGCGUCGCUGACUCGUCCGGGCACCGGCGCGGCGGCUGUCUUCCUCUCUCGUAUCGGGCGCGCAGAAAUGUCGAUGUGCGUGGGCGGCAGGACAAGCGCGCAUGUGCGCGUGUGCGGAGAGCGCUUGCGCGUUGAGCGCUGCUGAGCUGUAAAUAUCUCGCCAUACUUCAUCGUGUUCUCCGUCCACCCCACCCCACCCCUCACCACCACCACCAUCCACACCGACGCAAGCCGUCCUGUGUCGCGGGAGGAGUGCCGUCGCCACCGCCGCACGCCGUGGCUAAGCGGCUACCGCGUCCUUCCUUCCAUGUGACGCUCAUGCAGCUGUGUGCUCCUCUGUCGCUGCUUCGGCACCCACCAUCUCGGGGUAUGUAUGUGUAUACAUGUUCGCUUGUGCGCGCGCACCUGCUCUGCACUUUCUUCCCACCCCCUCCCACCUUCUCCUCCCGCUUCCUCGCAACAUGGCGCGACCUUCUCUGCGUGUGCUGAGAUGCUCGUCGCCAG
rnacentral:misc_RNA from 1 species